AAACAGAAUCUGUGUUGGCGUGCAGGGAGCAGGCAGCGUCUGCAAAGUAGCGCUGGCAACCACAACAGAGAGGCCAGCAACAGGAGGAGCAGGAGGAGCCCAAUGAAGCGUGCUGUGGAGGACAAAGAGCAGCAGAGGCAGGAAGCAGUGACAAGGAGUGAGCUGGGAAAUUCCAGCUGCCCUCCUGUCCUACUUACAAGGAAUAGCCUGGAACAAGUACAGUUGACUCUGAACAAGUCAGGUUUGAACUGCAUGGGUCCACUCAUAUGAAGAUUUCUUUCAACGAAAGCUACCCCGAGUGUGCCUGCCUUUCCUGCCUCCCCUUCCACCUCCUGCACCUCUACCAUCCCUGCCACCCCUAAGACAGCAAGGCCAGUCUCUUCUCUCUCCCCCUCCUCCUUCAGCCUAUUCAACUUGAAGAUGACAAGGAUGAAGAGCUUUAUGAUGAUCUACUUCCCCUUAAUGAACAGUAAAUAUAUUUUUUCUUCCUUACAAUUUUCUUAAUAGCAUUUUCUUUUCUCUAGCUUACCUUAUUGUAAGAAUACAGUGUAUAAUACAUAAAACAUACAAAAUAUGUGUUAAUAAACUGUUUAUGUUAUUGGUAAA